rnacentral:lncRNA from 1 species
CUGGAUUGACUGUUAAGAGCAUGUUAGGGCCGCAGACAGUGUUGAAUCUUCAAGUCAUUCACUGUAUGGUCAAGAGCUGAAUAAAGUUCUACAUUGAACAUUUGCUUAUUUUCUUUAGUAGAAGUGACUAGAGGCUUCAGAGAAGAACAGUGUCUUUAGAGAAAUGCCUUCUCUAUCCCAGGCUACCCUUCACUGCCUGCUUUGAAGUAACCAGGACAAUUUUGAAUUGGUGUGUGUUUCUUUGAGAACAACUCCACAGUCAUCUGAAGAGUGUGGAAUGAAGAGCUCAGGGAAUUUAAGAGCUAAUUCUUCAGUCUGACAACUGGGCGACAGCACUUUAAGGAAACUCCCAGGACUAUGAUUUCAAGCUUCGUUGUCGAUCAAAAGUUUAAUCCCCUUGGGAUGAAUUCCACAUUCCUUUAGCAUCUGGUUGUAACUGACUGGAAGAUAAUGAGUUUUAAUUUGUGUUGCAGAUGAGCAUUUGAUUCUGAUUCGCAUCUAUUUCUAGAUCCUGUCCUCUGAACAACAAUUCCUCUUAAAAUUGCUUAGCAGAGGGACUCAGAAGCCUGCAUCCCCUUUGAAGUUACAAUAGACCUUACUACUGCUAAAGCCUGCAUCUCCUUUGAAGUUAAAAUAG